UCAAAGCUAGCCUAUAUAUCAAUUCAACUAGACCUUAUAAAUCUAAUCUAUAUUAUAACUUUUAAUCAAAACAUUCUCAACCUUUCAGUAUGGGUGACAGAACAAUAACCCCAGCGCAAUAGCUUAUGUACCGCAAGGGAAAGCUGAAAAAGAAAUGAAACAAAUCAUCAAAGUACUAAAAAGCAGAGAUCAUACCUCGUACCUUUUGCAUCAUGAUUUAGCUAGAAAAACUAGGCAAAAAGACCUUAAGUCUAUCUCCCCGAAACUAAACGAGCUACUCCGAAGCAGCAUUAUAGAGCUAACCCGUCUCUGUGGCAAAAGAGUGGGAAGACUUCCGAGUAGCGGUGAAAAGCCUACCGAGUUUAGUGAUAGCUGGUUACCCAAGAAAAGAACUUUAGUUCUGCAUUAAUUUUUCACUAUCUAGACAAGACUUACUCGUCAAAGAAAUCUAUAAGAAUUAAUAGUUAUUUAGAAGAGGUACAACCCUUCUAAACCAAGACACAACUUUUUAAGGUGGGAAAUGAUCAUAAUUAUUAAGGUUACCAUCUCAGUGGGCCUAAAAGCAGCCACCUGUCAAGUAAGCGUCGCAGCUCUAAUCUAAUAAUUAAACCUUUAAUCCAGAUAUCUACUCACAACCCCCUUUAUCCUAUUGGGUUAUUUUAUAUUAUAUAAAAGAACUUAUGCUAAAAUGAGUAAUAAAGAGAACAAAUCUCUCCCGACACAAGUGUACGUCAGAAAGAAUUAAAUCACUGAUAAUUAAACGACCCCAAACUGAGGUCAUUAUAUCACUUAACCAUUAACUAGAAAACCCUAUUCUCCUACUCGUUAUCCCUACACAGGAGUGUCAUCAGGAAAGA
rnacentral:rRNA from 1 species